rnacentral:rRNA from 1 species
CAACACUAGACGCAUGUCUAGAGUUUGAAAGAUGGUUCUGCUAUCACUCUUGGAUGGACCUGCGGUGCAUUAGCUAGUUGGUAAGGUAACGGCUUACCAAGGCAAUGAUGCAUAGCCGAGUUGAGAGACUGAUCGGCCACAUUGGGACUGAGACACGGCCCAAACUCCUACGGGAGGCAGCAGUAGGGAAUCUUCCACAAUGGACGAAAGUCUGAUGGAGCAACGCCGCGUGAGUGAAGAAGGGUUUCGGCUCGUAAAGCUCUGUUGGUAGUGAAGAAAGAUAGAGGUAGUAACUGGCCUUUAUUUGACGGUAAUUACUUAGAAAGUCACGGCUAACUACGUGCCAGCAGCCGCGGUAAUACGUAGGUGGCAAGCGUUGUCCGGAUUUAUUGGGCGUAAAGCGAGUGCAGGCGGUUCAAUAAGUCUGAUGUGAAAGCCUUCGGCUCAACCGGAGAAUUGCAUCAGAAACUGUUGAACUUGAGUGCAGGAGAGGAGAGUGGAACUCCAUGUGUAGCGGUGGAAUGCGUAGAUAUAUGGAAGAACACCAGUGGCGAAGGCGGCUCUCUGGUCUGCAACUGACGCUGAGGCUCGAAGCAUGGGUAGCGAACAGGAUUAGAUACCCUGGUAGUCCAUGCCGUAAACGAUGAGUGCUAAGUGUUGGGAGGUUUCCGCCUCUCAGUGCUGCAGCUAACGCAUUAAGCACUCCGCCUGGGGAGUACGACCGCAAGGUUGAAACUCAAAGGAAUUGACGGGGGCCCGCACAAGCGGUGGAGCAUGUGGUUUAAUUCGAAGCAACGCGAAGAACCUUACCAGGUCUUGACAUCCAGUGCAAACCUAAGAGAUUAGGUGUUCCCUUCGGGGACGCUGAGACAGGUGGUGCAUGGCUGUCGUCAGCUCGUGUCGUGAGAUGUUGGGUUAAGUCCCGCAACGAGCGCAACCCUUGUCAUUAGUUGCCAUCAUUAAGUUGGGCACUCUAAUGAGACUGCCGGUGACAAACCGGAGGAAGGUGGGGAUGACGUCAAGUCAUCAUGCCCCUUAUGACCUGGGCUACACACGUGCUACAAUGGACGGUACAACGAGAAGCGAACCUGCGAAGGCAAGCGGAUCUCUUAAAGCUGUUCUCAGUUCGGACUGUAGGCUGCAACUCGCCUACACGAAGCUGGAAUCGCUAGUAAUCGCGGAUCAGCACGCCGCGGUGAAUACAUUCCCGGGCCUUGCACACACCGCCCGUCA